rnacentral:rRNA from 1 species
UGCGCAGGCGGAAGAAUAAGUCAGUGGUGAAAUACUGCCGCUCAACGGUAGGGCUGCCAUUGAUACUGUUUUUCUUGAGUAUGGUUGAGGUAGGCGGAAUGUGCGGUGUAGCGGUGAAAUGCAUAGAUAUCGCCCAGAACGCCGAUUGCGAAGGCAGCUUACUAAACCAUUACUGACGCUGAGGCACGAAAGCGUGGGUAGCGAACAGGAUUAGAUACCCUGGUAGUCC